AUGCGUUGAUCGGUUUGAAAGGCUCCAGAUCAAUUGUCACUUUCUUUUCUUUGCCAUCAUCGGUCACAAUGGUACCGGUGUACAGAACCAAUCCGUUAGGGGGAACCCUGUUGUAGAGUUUCAGUCUCUGCUGUGCAGAGGUGAUGGCUCCAAGAACAGACUGCCGGUUGACUCUGCUCUUGAUAUUCGAAGCAGUACCAUAUUCAUCUCCUAACAUCUUUGUGACCCUGGAGACCUGAUCACGGGGAGGCAUAAUCAAUGAGAUCAUGCUUGUUCCGUUACCUCUUGCAGCCUCAAGAGCCUUGAUCAGUUUCUUGAUCUUCCAAAUCUCAAUGUUCUUGUCGGUUUCCUGACCGUCAGCCAUCUGUGAAGGUUCUGAGGAGAGAUCCUGUUAACAUUCAUAAUAUAUUGUGAAUUGAAUAUCUUUUAAAAAAAAAAAGAUAAAAGAACACGAUCCUUAACUCUUUUUAUGUUUCUUAUAUAGAGAUAGAACUUAUGACUUGGAAAUAAUUCAGAACAAAGAGUAUUUUAUAAUGUUAAAAAAUGAAGAUGAUGUUAUUGCAUUAAACAAAAUCAGUGCAAAAAGAAAAUCAAAACCUAAUAUUAAUGAAAAGUAUACAUUAUAUUUUAUAAACACAUGAACAGGUAUUAGGAAUCUGAAUUGAGUGCAGCGAAAUUUUCAUUACAGUUUAAAACAAAUAAGAUGUGGCUCUGGGUAUCAGAAUUAUUUUAACCCUCCCCCCCUAUUUCCUAUACUGAAUACUAAUGCUAAAAUAAAAAUGAGAAAACAUCGGACAACAACUAAAACAAUAGACAAAAAAAAAAUAUACAUCGUAAGUCAAUUGGGCAUAAAUAUUAUAAUAGCAAUCAAAACCAAGAAAAAAUGAUGAAAUCAAUUCAAAAUAAGAACUUGACAAAGAAAGAAAAAAUGGAAAAUGACAUUGACGAAUCUACAUGGGAGUUAAACAUAAACAGAUCAAGAAUUCAAGAUAGACGGACAUACCUAGAGCCUAAAGGCUAGAGAGUAGCGGAGACUGGACUCUGGAGAGUGGAGACGGACUGAAGGAGGUGAAAUCCGAUGGUGGUGGUGGCCUGUGGCACAAUAACUGAAUCCCGGUGGGCGGUGAGCGGUGGUCGGAACGUGAGAGCUUGACUGACUCUAAGAUGAUCUUGAGUUUUGGGGAGAAGGGGGAGAUUUGGAUUUUAGUUAGGGCUAAAUGAUAUAUUUUUUGCACUCUCACCCUUCAAUUUUAUUAUUAUACCACAAAAAAUGAUUGAAUAGUAACAUUUUUUAAACUGACGUCUGACACAAAACAUUGAACAUUCACAUUUUGAAUAAAUAUCUUCCGGACGUUUGGCCUUCUUCCCCAAUCGGACCAAUGCCGAAAAAGCUGAGGAAGAAGAAGCCUCCACCUUCUUCCACUGCGCCCGAUAACAAUCAACAAGAACUCAUUGUGCCCGGAGAGGUCGAGUUCCGCUGUUCAGAAGACGAUGCAUGGUACACAGUGUCGCUCCGGUUGGAGGAUGGGCAGUGUUUACGUGUAAGUUUCACAUAUUUCAAUGGCUCAACUGAUGAGAAUUUCACGGUGGAGGAGUUUGAGGACAUCGAUAAGCUGGAAAUAUUUCGGAGGAGGUUCAGGUUUUCAUCUGUUCAAUUGCAGGACUCGGAUUGUUGGAAAAUGAAGAAGGGAAUGAAGAUUUGCUGUAGCUGUAAUAUUGUUUCAACAGGUGCACUCAAGUUUUUUGAUGCGGUUGUUCGAUCUGUGAGUUUUUUUUUUCUUUCUUCAUCUCUAAAACCCUAAUUUUUUUCUUUCUUUCUGUUUUGAUUCAAACUUGGAUUUUUUUUUUGAAAAAUACAUGAAUUCCAAUGUUGUUUAUUUGAUGUAAAUUUCCAUUAGGUUCUUCGAUAUGACCAUGAAUUUCCAGAGAUUGAAGAAGAUGAAGAGGAAGUAUGUACAUGUGUAUUUAAAAUUCUGUGGCAAAAUGGGCCACAUUGUGGAAAUAUAACAUCCAGUAGAAUUGAGAACAUUUGCUUGAUCCAAGAACAAACAGAUAAUUUUCAUCCAGAUCUCACUUUGUUCUUAAACUUAGCAAGAGAGAAAAUUCUCUUAAGAACAUCUGCUAUUUCAGGUUUUUUUUUAUUGUCCUUUCUUUAUUUUUUUCUUUCAAGGUAUAUUGAUGAUCUAUAUAUCAUGAUUGUUCUUAAUCAGACAUUCUAACAUGGGCAGUGUUUUUCUGGCUUCGAUCUAGAUUACAUUUCUGAUAAACAGAUGGUUGAUACAUUUGAUAAAGAUACCGACUUAGUUAGUAUUAGCUUAUCAUCAGCAGUGACAGAUUCAUCUGAGACUUAUUAUUCAGUUUUCAUUGAGAAUUUAGAAAUGGAUACUUCCCCAAAGAAUAUAGUUGAUUUCGUGUUCAAACAAACGUCCGUGUGGUCUCAAGCACUGAUAUUUCCGUCUGCCUUUGCUGAUAUCUUCCAACGGGGUGUGAUUAUAGUGAAAACAGGGCAAAUGAUCAUGAAGAUAAUUAACUUCUUACAUGAUCCUUCGCAUACCAUCGUUUCUUCGAGGGGAAGGUAUUUUUUCGAGUUUAAUUGUCAUCAGUCAUAUUGUUUUUUUGAUCAUAUUUCAUUUUUGAUAGGCCAUGGAUCAUGCUUCAGAAGAGAUGGCAUUGCAACUCUCUUGGAAAUGUACUUCUGAAAAAUACCCUGGUAGAGUUAACCAAAACUCGCUUGAUUAAAAAAGAUGUUUCGAAAAUCUAAAUCCCUGUUUUUCUUCUUCUUGUAGCUGCAUCAUUUUUCACAGCCUCACUCAAACCCAGACGAUUUAACUGGAAUUAAGGUUGUUGAAGAAGGAAGUGCUGAAUUUGAGAGGGCAAAAGAUCUUACUGAUUUGUUCUUUGAGUUUUAUAAUCAUGUAAAUGCUCUCCAUGAAAGAUUUGGUAUAGAACAAAGGAAGUUGUUUGCUUCUUGAUACUCCAAUUUUUAGGUGAACUACAUACAUGGAUUCAGUGUUAUAUUGUUUUGCAAAUAUGUAUCCAUCUCAACUUUAAUUUGAAAUGAACUUGUCGUCUCAACAAAUAUUUUUUCGGACUAACUCAACUAAAUCUCCCCUCAUAUGUAUAUUGGGCGUACUGCAGGUGCAUCGUACAGUGUGAAUGUUAUAUAUGUCAUGUUGAUCAUGUUCAUUUGAUCGAUUUUGCGUCGUACAUGUGUUAGUAUAUUAUGCAGUAUAUUAUUUUGUAUCGUAUAUGUGUUAGCGUCUUAUGCAUUACAUUAUUUUAAUCAUUGGAUUAAAUACUAUUGGCUAAGAUUUAAUGGCCCACACACCAACACAACUGUUUUCUCUUAAUCUUGCUUCCAUCAUCAACCCCUCUAUAUUUAUCAAACUCUCAUGCAAUAUGUGCAAGUCUUGAAGAAUUAAAGACAAUGAAGUUAAAACCUCUCUAUAUUUGUCAAUUUGGUGUUCAAAUUCAAGUUAUAGCAAUUUUUCUUUCUUUAAUAAAACAUCCCUAACAUUUUCCCAUCAGACAAAAUUUGAUCACACUCUAUAGCUUGCCUUUGAUGCUAAUUCAAGCCAAACCAAUUGUUAGGCAACAUUAAUUCAUUAUUUAAUUAGAGAACUCCUAACUUCUAAUUCCUAAUUUAACCUGAAGAUUUGAUACCAUGAAGAUUUCGUAAACCCUAUGAUGUUGUCCAGAUGAACUAAUUAACGAUAGGAGGUAGGAGAAAAUGAGUGGCACACCAGAUUGGUCUUGAUAUAUAGAACCAAGGUUUUAGGGUUUAGUUUUAUUGAUAUGAACAAAAACAAAGAUAAAUAGAGAACAUAGUUCGAACAAAAUGUUGAAAGCAAAGCUAGGGUUCUUGAAGAACAAAUCGAGAGUAAGCAGAGAGACGAAAGAAUAGAAUAUGUCGUGAACAAUCUGUCGGCAGAAAGAACCAUUUAUACCUAAGGUUUAUGCUAAUGUGUGAUUAAAGUAAUCACAUGCUUCCACAUGCAAAUUAAAUAUAAGUAAAUAUAAGUAAAUAGCUAGUGUUGGUUACACGGAUCGUGGAUCGAACCACCCUCGGUCGGAUCGGGACGCACGACGGGCCGCAGAUUACGGGUCGGGUGGCGCCAAGGGCCCCUGUGCUGAAGGAGGCCUAGAGGGGGAACAAGAAAUCAAGUGUAAGCCUAUAAAUAUCUUCCAUGGUCCAACAAAGAAAGGGGUUGGAAAUAUUUGAGAAGAGAGACAAGUAUAAGAGAAGAGAGUUGUAUGUGUAUGUGCAUCCAUCUGUAAGCUCACACACCAUUAUGAUAAUAAUCAAUGUAUUGGAUUGAUUUGAAUCAGAAUAGAUUGGUUUGUUGAUGAAAUUAAAUAGUGACGGUCAAAACACAGAAUCCCACGUUUCAUAAUAUUGGAUAAGCAUUGAGGGAGAUAACAUGUUUCAAAAAUAAUAAUACAGUGUUUAGCUCAACUGGUCACGAUAAUUAUUAAGUUGCUGAGGGUUCAGGUUUUAGUCUCUCUGUUUACGUAAUUUUCAUAUAAUUUUUAUUAUGAUAUGAUCGGUGAUAUAUUAUAUAAUUUUGGUAUAUCAACUGAAGGUAAAUUUUUGUAUUUGUAGAAAGAUACCAUCGUUAUAAAAAAUAAUAAUAAAGAAAGAAAAGUUCUUAUAAGUCACUUUUAUAGUAAGCUAAAAAAACGUCAAAAAGACCUUAGCCAUUCAUUUUUUUUACUUUUUGAGAGAUAGAAUAUCAACCGUCUAAUCUCAUCUGUUCUCUUUUUUAAUAUAUAACAAUUAACAAAUAAUAUCUUUUUACAUUUUAAAAACAAGUCUAUUUUAAUUAAAGUACAUAUAUGAAAUAUCUCAUAAACAUCAUACAAUAGUAAUUACACGUAUUAUUCCAAUAUAAUUAAUUACUAGAUCGAUGAAUACUGUUCUUACCAAAUCAAAUAACACAACGAAUGACACCUAUUUACAUAAUUAAAUGAUUGAUGUAGAACAGUAGAAAUAUAAUCAAUGAAAAUUUGAUAAAAAUAAUUACACAACGAACGACGGAGAUCGCAGAUGGAUAAAAGUAAUUAGAAACCAAGUAAUUACAUGAUUGGUUAGAAGAAGGGAAUAAAGAUAUUAUUCCAAGAAUGUGUGGAAGAGCUCACUGACAAUGUUUUUUUGUCCAUGUCGCCAGAAGAAUCAUGAUCAAUUAGUCUUGGAACCAUGGAAUCCAAUACUCAACUUUGUCAAACCAAGCCUAAGAUGAUUGUUUCAAUCUGUAAAUAGAAAUUGGGUCACAUUCGUUCAUAAGAUUUUUAAUUGCUAAUGAGUUUCUUCUUCGUCUUAUUCCUCCGUUGUCUUCGUUCUGGGUUCCGUAGCUAUUGGGUUUAUUCUUCUUUUUAUUCCUCCGAUGUCUUCGUUCUGGGUUCCGGCAUCACUCCUAUAAAAGAUGGAUUGAAAUUUGCAAGUAAUGUAAAUUAAGAAACAUAAUUAGUUAUUUACUGACAAAAAAAUAUAAUUAAACUAACCAUAUUGGGCUGGAUCUGGGUCGGAUCCAGAUACAAACCAACCAGCCAACCCAGACCAUUUACAGCCCUAGUUAUAUUGUCAUUUGGCUAUUUAGUAAUUAAUCAGUAAUUUAAUCAUUUAUGCAUGUAUUUAAUUAUUAUUUUAGACAAUAGUAUAGGAUAUGAGUACAUGACCCUGAUGACCAAAACCUGAUUCUAGAUUAUAAAAAAUUACAUUGAUAGUGAUAAGUCCUUUUGAACUUUUUCAUCAUAAUCUAUGAGCCUUUUUAACCAUUGCAAACCUAAGUCACACCCGGCAGUGAUAGCAAUCUCAAACUGUUUUUUCGCCAGAUGAACUGACUCAUCCCAUGUCCUCGGUGUUUUAUUGCUUCCCAAUGCACGCACAACACCACCCCUACCCUUCUUGGUUUUGAAUUUAUUUAUUGCUUCUGGAACUUCAAAACCUAUAAAAGAUCAGUAAUGAGAAAAUAAAUAAUUCAAGGUUCAACCAAACAACACAUAUCAUGUUCAAGUAGUGUUAACCAUUUUUUUGAUAACAUUAAAAAAAUGGUUAACACUACUUGAACAUGACAUGAUACUUGAAUAAGUAGUGUUAACCAAUUACCAAGCCAGAUGACAAUUUUUUCAUCAAUAAGAUAUGAAACGGGCAAUGUAAUCCGCCAUACGGUAUAAGUGUAUAACUCAUUAACUCAGGUUUUAAUGACAGUCAGUGUAUAACUCAAUGAGACUGCUACUGUUGAACUUGAUGAGUUAACCUCUCCUGUGAUAUUGUCUAUAUUUAUGCUUCUGUUAUUAUGCCUUUUCUUUUGCUAAGCCUCCCCUAGAGGACCUGUUCUACUCUUGAGUAGGGCUGUCUGUGAAGGGAAUUACUUUUUCUGUCUAUAUUUGUAAAACUGGGCAAGGCGCCAAGGCCUUCAUGUCUAAUGAAAAUUUACCUUUAUAAAAAAAAAGGUGACAGCCAGUAUCUUUACCUUUUAAAAGAAGAGAUCCAUAUGCAAUAGCUGCUCCAGCAUGACCCUGCAGGUAACUUAUUCAGUUACAAAAAAAAGCAUAUGAUGAUAGGUGGUUUAUUCCCAUUUACCUUUUAUUAUAUAGAGUUAUGACUUAUGACCAGUGAAAUUGGGUAUUGUAUAAUAACGUAAUGCAACCGUUGAUCUGGACUGCAUACCUUUAUAAGGGAUAUACACCUCCAGAGAUAUAUGAGCACAUACCUCAAGAAAGAAAAUGUGACACAGAUCAACGGUUACACUAGAUUACACAAUACCAGGUUAUACUUAAUACUUCCCUAUUUAUAUAUGAUGAAAUAAAAAUAUCCAAUUCUGAUCAUGCAUUAAAUACAUUCAUUAAAAAGGAUUGGAACAUCACAAGAAUAAAAAAUAAUUAUAAAGACCAUAAUUUUUUAACUAAAAUCUAUAUAGUAUAUACUACAACCUUCAUCGAUGCUCUAUGAAAGCACCACAUUGCUGAUGCAAUAUCCUUCUCCACGCAAUCUCCAGUAAGAUAAACAGCACCAAGAAGAUAAAGAGCAUCCGGAUGUGACUAAAACAAGGAGAUGGCAGUGAAUGAACAUUCCUUUGAAGAUUUUCUAAUGAAAUAAUAUUUUUUACAUGCAAAAAUAGGAACCUGAUCGACGGCCUUUUUUAUGUAAUAGAAAGCUUCCUUUUCUGUGUAUGCAAUGUCAUCCUGUUGACAAAACAAGCUAAAACAAAUCAGGAAAAAAAUUAUCAAAAUGUUCAUUAUACUACAAAUAGAGAUAAACCAGAGAAAAAAGAUCUCAAGUCCAAAAAAUAAAUAUAUAUCGUAGUGUUAUCUAAAUAGUAUUUAGUAUCUCUAUUCACGAUUUUCCCACUCUUAAAAAAUAACAGAAGAUAUGUUUUUUCUAUAUCGUGUCAACAUAAUCUUCAAGUUGGUUACGAGUUAUGUACUUUUGAAGUUUCUAUCUUUUUUUUGGACAAUCCUAUUCUUCUGUUUAAUUAAUUGCUAUAAAAAGCAAGAAAACACAGAGUGUGUUUUAUUAUAGAACACAAGCGAUGUUUCAAAAAUGGAUCCACAUCGAACACGCUGAAAAAUAAUAAAAAAACUAAAUUUUGCAUGAUUAAGAGCAUUCCAAGAGAUACAACCUUGGUUCUUAAAUGCCGACCAACUUCAUAUUGAGCAUCUGCAUUUCCCAUUUCUGCAGCUUCAAGUAACAAUGCUGACCCGCUAUAAAGGAAAUGAAAGAGACAGAAAAUUACCAGUCAUAGAGUCUUAGCAAUCCCACAGGCAAAUGAAUUUUGAAAUAUUUUAACAAGAAAGGAAAGUUUUAGGCAGAGAUGCAGUCAUAGCUCAGCUUGAAAAAACAUGUAGAAGAAUGAAUAAUAGUAUGAAAUGUCAACUGUCACAAUGUAGUGAAAAAAUAAUUGAAGUCAAACAAAAUAGGCCUUUCUUAUUUUAGUUACUAUACAAAUAGAUAGAACCCAAUUCAAUGAAUCUCAGGCUCAGAAAAUUGGAACCGUCUUAGUAAUAUAAUUUAACCUUUCAAACGAACCAACAAUAUAUAAUUACAUAUAUUGUAUUUGUAUAGUGAUAUGGUCUCUCAAGAAAUAAAAUUUGACUAAUCAUGCUAACUGAUUAGAUAAAAAAAGGCUGCAGGAGAACAGGACCAAUAACAAAAAAUGCAGAAUAAUGUGACCAACUGAUAACAUUAAAUGACAAUCUGAAAGACAACCUAUUUUGUAUCUCGUCCACAAAAAUCUAAAAAACGAGUCAAAUUUGAUUUCAUCACAUUAUGAAUUCAUUCUAAACAAAUACAUUAUACAAUGCAUAUACAUCUCACUCAGUUACUCUAAUCAUUAGAGUCUAAUGGACAUGGAACUCUGAUACGACAAAAAAUAGUGAAAUAGUGAAAUUUUCAACUUUUUAUAACUGUGUCAAUUUCACAAAAUAAAUAUGAAUAAGAACAUUUGAAGAACAAAGAACUCACACAGCUGGGCAGGAACCUGGAACAUGAGUAUCAUACUUAAAAUGCAACAUACCCAACCAGUAUCUUGCAUGAGUAUUUGAAUUAUCAACCUCCAAAGCCAACUCAAAAUUAUCCUUUGCUGUCUGUAGGAGGAUUGAUACUAAUCUUAUCAAAAAUUGGUUCAUUGAUCAAAUAUAUAAUCAACUAAACCAAGAAGCAAAAAAGUCCAAACAGAAUUCAAAGUACACAAUCUAUAAUUGAUAGUUUAUUAUUUGAUAAUAUAGAGGUAUUUAGAAAAACAUAUCAUAUUUUAUCUGAUCAAUCAUCUGAUACCAUAAGCAGGAUCAACCAACAAAAGUAAGCACCUAUGUAAGCCGUAAAAAUUUAAAAUACAUGAAUUAGGAAAUUUUCAGGUCAUACCCUGAGUUGGGGAAUUAGUCGGGGGUCGUUUCGUUCAGUAUGAUCGAUGACUCUAUCGACUUCCUGGAGGGCAUUCCAACCCUUCGCCACAAGUUCCAUGGCCUUUUUGUUCCUGCUGUGAAUCCAUCUCUAUACACAAAAAGGACAGUAUUUUUCCAGCAUUAGAUAAAUUCACUUUAUGGAACGGGUUGAAAUGAUUGUAAAUACCUGAUGUUGAUUGGAUAAAAGGAGCGUGUUUUUCCAAUGGGACGCGGAGUGGAGAAGGCCUCUUAACAUUUGUCACGGUCGUUUCCGUAAUUGAAAAAAGGGAUACAGAUCGAUUGCAGCUACGUAGGACCGCCGAAUCUCUGAUCAGGAGUAAAUGCAAUCAGCGACAGAUCUAGGAAUCGAUUGCACUUUUAACAAAAUCAGUGCUAAAAAAAUCAAAGCUUUAACAUCAAUGAAAACUGAAAAGUAUGCAUUAUAAUUUAUAAAUAACAUCACAUAAACAGGUAUUAGGAAUAAAUAUUAAGUGCAGCGAAAUUUUUAAUACAGUUUUUCAAAACAAUGAUAGGGUAUUAGAUUGGCAUCGGGUAUCAGAAUCAGUUUUCAAAACCUCCUAAUUCCUAAAAUGAAUAAUGAUCCUAAAAAACUGUUACUAUCUAACUAUAUAACUAGUUAUUAUAUAACUAAAGUUACUAGACUACAUAGUUAAUGGGAGAGAGUCAAUGAGCUUUUUUUUGCUCAUUUCUUUUUACUUCUGUUUCUAUUUCUAUACUCUAUUUUUUGUAAACUUGGCAUUAGCUUUACUUUAAUGAAAUUUAAUUGCUUCAAAAAAAAAAUCCUAAAAAAAUAAGAAUAUACUGGAUAGCCGAAACAAUAAAGUGAGAUGGGUAUAAUAACAAUCAAAACCAAAAAAUAUCGAUUAAAUCAAAUCAAAAUAAGAACUCGAAAAUGAAAAGAAAGAUGCAAAUUGGCAUUAUAAAUGGAUCCAAAUGGGGUGGGCUCAAGCCUACAUGUAGAUUUGUUUCUUCUUCUUCUUAGGAGUAUAAAUGUUCGGUUAUACUCCAAACUCAUUGCCCAUUAACAAGUAUAAAACAAAACAAAACAAAACAAAACAAAACAAAACAAAACAAAAAACAGAAAGAUAGAGGAACAAACCAAGAUCCAAGAUUUCUAAAAUUAAACGAUGAUAGAGAAGGAAGACCGGGAAGUGAUGGUGGUGGCCUGUGGAACAAUAACUGAAUCCCGGUGGGCGGUGAUCGGAACGUGAGAGCUUGACCGGCUGACCCUGAGAUGAUCGUGAGGUAGGAGGAUGAGAGAUUGGGGGAAUCGUGAGUUUUGGGGAGAAGGGUGAGAUUUGGAUUUUAGUUAGGGCUUUAAUUUAAUUGGAUAUUUUAUUAAAAAAACCCUCAAUUCCUCAAAGAUAAAAACUAUACAGGUCAUUUUUAAAAUAAUUUUUUUAGGGGGAGAAACUGAGAUGCUCGGCUGGGUUUAACAAUGUAAGUGAUGAUAUCCUCGCCUACUGGAGUGACCCAACAGGAACAUCAAACAGAGGUCUAUCGAGAGGAGUACUGAUAAAUUCUUGGGCUGCUUAAAACGGCCUGAAAACAUUCUCAGGUCCGUUCGACCUAAUCUUGGUAGAAAAAGGUUCAUAAAUAAUUAAAUGCACUCGAAACGUGCAUGAGGAAGUAGACAUUGUUAAACUAGUUGCAGUUAACUUUUAUUUCUAUAAUUUUAUACUCUGUUUAAACUUUAAUUUGUUAGAACUAUUUUAUUAAUGCAAAAAAAGAAGUAAAUAACGAUAUCACCCAUAAAAGUUGAAGGCAAUAGAUAUGUAUUUGAGAGUACAAAUAUUCUACACCAUCUUAAUAAAUAUAAGUUAUCUCAUCAAAUUCAGCAAGCAAAUUCCGCAUUGUGCAAACCAUGGUUUUCAAACAGUGAAAAUAAUUUCUCCCCAGUCUCCCAUCAUCUCCAUGAUUCAUACUGCAAUGCAAAAUAUAAUGAAACACUAUCAUACAUUCAUACACAUUUUCUUUGUAAGACCAAUUUUGCACAAAAAAACUGAUUAAUGAACUUACAUAUAUUUUCAAACGAUUGUGAGCAGCAAAUUUCGCAACGAACCAGAUAUCUCGGCGCAGCACCUCAAGUCCAGCGAAGCCUUUUCAAGACCUAGCGCCAUUAAAUCAUCAGUUGAUUGCUAUUCAUCUUCGUAGUCUUCAUCUGAAAUUUCGUCGAAUGUCCUCAUGUCAAGCUGGUAGCGGAGAAUGCCCCCAAUCCCUCCAAAUCCCCUGCAGAACUGUGAACCCUCUUGCGAUUUGUUGGUAACAAACUCAAGAGUGCAGCCAAACCGCCUGUAUUCCUCCGCAAACCACUCCAGCAGAGACACCUUCUCGCUGACUUCCAAGUCAGAAUUGGUGGACGAAUCCACAAAGUUCGCACGAUCAGCUUCCUGUUCUUUGUUCAUGUGCUUUACGACAACUUCCCCCGUGGUGCUAUUCUUCAUCGAAAAUCGAUUGAUGUCCAGGUUUUCCCACACUAUAAGGGUCUCGAUAGCACCCAUUUCAAGGGCCUUCAGCGUGUCGUCCACUCCAAAUACAUACUUCCCUGUGUCUUGGCUUAUCUCCUCAAAAUACUUUCCGAUCAAUCGCUUCUCCUGUAUGAACUUCACGUUUGAGAGAAUCUCCGCAGACAGUUCAAUAGCCUGGUUAAAACCAUUCUCCCCUCCAUAGGAGACAUCCACAACAUUAAGAAUCUUGGCUUGGAGACGCUGAUCAAACAGUUCGGAUUGGCUUAACUCGGUUUUGAAAUCGGCAGAUCCAGCUAAAAUCAAUCCAGAAACAUUUGGCUGACUGGUAGCGGGAUUGAUAUAGAACUGUGUGGCCAGUUCAGCAGUCUUCCUCACGUAGUUGUGACGCUUCUCCAUACGGAGACGGGCAAAACGAAGAGCCGACUGCCCUCCUCUUCCAUGCUUCUUCGGAAGAUCCACACUGAACUUAUGAAGUAUGUCACGGGUGUUCCCACUUAAAGUGCCAAACAAAGUCCCAUUACCAUCCAUCACUAUGAAUCCAAACUUAUCAUCAGAUUCCAGAAGCUCGUUUAGAGGUUCGGUAUGAAACUUGUUGUCACAAAGGUACAGCGAUGCGUUGAUCGGUUUGAAAGGCUCCAGAUCGAUUGUCACUUUCUUUUCUUUGCCAUCAUCGGUCACAAUGGUACCGGUGUACAGAACCAAUCCGUUAGGGGGAACCCUGUUGUAGAGUUUCAGUCUCUGCUGUGCAGAGGUGAUGGCUCCAAGAACGGACUGCCGGUUGACUCUGCUCUUGAUAUUCGAAGCAGUACCAUAUUCAUCUCCUAACAUCUUUGUGACCCUGGAGACCUGAUCACGGGGAGGCAUAAUCAAUGAGAUCAUGCUUGUUCCGUUACCUCUUGCAGCCUCAAGAGCCUUGAUCAGUUUCUUGAUCUUCCAAAUCUCAAUGUUCUUGUCGGUUUCCUGACCGUCAGCCAUCUGUGAAGGUUCUGAGGAGAGAUCCUGUCAGCAUUCAUAAUAUAUUGUGAAUUGAAUGUCUUCAAAAAAAAAUAAGAUAGAAGAAAAAAUUGAUCCUUAAUUAUUUUUAUGUUUCUCCCCUGCAGAAUGACUAGAAUAUAGAGAUGGAGCAUUAUUCAUUUAAAGAUAAACAGCUUCAUAAUUCAGAUAAAGAGUCUCUUAUGGUCUCUGGAGACUGGAGUUGAAAAAUCAAGAAAAUGUUAUAGUAUUUAAGUAUUAAACAUUAUUUUAUAUUCCUUUUCCAAAAAAUAAUAGGGUCGGGAGUUAGAUUAUUGGAGAGCUGAUUUAAAACAUGAUCAUGAAAAUCUGUUAUAAACGUAUAUCAAAAAAAAAUCAAUCUUUUAAUUUAUAAAUUCAGACAUGCUUGCUUAUUCGUUCAAAUAAACUUGUUUACUGAAAUAAUUAUCAAUCGAUAAACAUUUCUAAAUAAAUUAAAUAUCAUAUUCUGAUCGAAGAGUGAUCUGUGGAUCUCCACCAGGGCUGGUGGGAGCUCAGACCCUUAUCAGGUUUUGAUUUUUCUUCUUCUUGGGAGUAUAGACGUUCAAUUAUGCUCCAUACUCACUACCAAUUAACAAGUAUAAAACAUUAAAAAAAACAGAAAGAUAGAGGAACAAACCAAGAUCUCUAAAACUAUACGACGAUAUCGGAGGAAGACCGGAAUGUGAUAUCGGUGAUGAAGAUAACGUCUGAAAUGCAAAGAGACGUCAGCGAUUAGAUGAAAUCGACGAUCAGGAGAACGGCAGAAUAAACAAAGAAUACACGAAAUUGAUAUGCUAGGACACAAGUGCACGCAACUAUACAAGGACUGACUGGACCGUCGAGUAUUUUGUUUUAGAUUUCUUUUAUUGGGAUUUUAUCGUUUAUAUCCGCCGUAGUUCAAUUUUUUUGUUUAAAAAAAUCAUAUGGAAUGAUGAAAAAUCAUGUUUUUUCAGGUUGAUGAUAGUUCAAUAUUUUCAAAUGAUUCAUUUUCCUAGGUUAAAGCUAGGUUAAACACAAACGGAUCAAGAUUCAAGAUAAACGGACAUACCUAGAGCCUAAAGGCUAGAGAGUAGCGGAGAGUGGAGACGGACUGAAGGCAGUGAAAUCCGAUGGUGGUGGUGGCCUAUGGCACAAUAACUCAAUCCCGGUGGGCGGUGGUCGGAACGUGAGAGCUUGACCGGCUGACCCUGAGAUGAUCGUGAGGUGGGUGGGAGAAGAGAUUGGGGGAAAUCGUGAGUUUUGAGGAGAAGGGUGAGAUUUGGAUUUUAGUUAGAACUUUAUUUAAUUGGAUAUUUUAUUAAAAAAACCCUCAAAGAUUAUAAAAAAAAAAAAAAAAAACUAGAUGCAUUACCUUCUAGCAAAAUACUUUCCGAUCAAUCGCUUCUCCUGUAUGAACUUCACGUUUGAGAGAAUCUCCGCAGACAGUUCAAUAGCCUGGUUAAAACCAUUCUCCCCUCCAUAGGAGACAUCCACAACAUUAAGAAUCUUGGCUUGGAGACGCUGAUCAAACAGUUCGGAUUGGCUUAACUCGGUUUUGAAAUCGGCAGAUCCAGCUAAAAUCAAUCCAGAAACAUUUGGCUGACUGGUAGCGGGAUUGAUAUAGAACUGUGUGGCCAGUUCAGCAGUCUUCCUCACGUAGUUGUGACGCUUCUCCAUACGGAGACGGGCAAAACGAAGAGCCGACUGCCCUCCUCUUCCAUGCUUCUUCGGAAGAUCCACACUGAACUUAUGAAGUAUGUCACGGGUGUUCCCACUUAAAGUGCCAAACAAGGUCCCAUUACCAUCCAUCACUAUGAAUCCAAACUUAUCAUCAGAUUCCAGAAGCUCGUUUAGAGGUUCCGUAUGAAACUUGUUGUCACAAAGGUACAGCGAUGCGUUGAUCGGUUUGAAAGGCUCCAGAUCGAUUGUCACUUUCUUUUCUUUGCCAUCAUCGGUCACAAUGGUACCGGUGUACAGAACCAAUCCGUUAGGGGGAACCCUGUUGUAGAGUUUCAGUCUCUGUUGUGCAGAGGUGAUGGCUCCAAGAACGGACUGCCGGUUGACUCUGCUCUUGAUAUUCGAAGCAGUACCAUAUUCAUCUCCUAACAUCUUUGUGACCCUGGAGACCUGAUCACGGGGAGGCAUAAUCAAUGAGAUCAUGCUUGUUCCGUUACCUCUUGC
rnacentral:lncRNA from 1 species